rnacentral:lncRNA from 1 species
AACUGUUUGGAUCAAUUUGCAAAAAUACAGGUUUCAUUCAAAUCUUAUAUAACUAUUCGGGUAAGCUUACGAAGGUAUUUGCCUUUUUCGGGACGAUUGAGCAUUCGCAAUUGCUUUAACUUUGAUUCGACUGGGCUGGUUCUCUUUUCGCUUAUAAUACGUCCCAAGAAUUCGAUACUUGAUUAAAAAAAUUCACUCAUUUCAAAACUAUAAGACAACACUUGAAGGUCUUCCUUUACAUGGUUAUGAUGUUCCUUCUAUGUGGUUGGAACUAUCAUAAUAUCGUCGAUAUAGGCGAAAACAAAACUCAUUUGGCUGAAAAGAGAAUCAAUUAGUCCAUGAAACGUAUUUGACGCAUAACGUAGACCAAAGAAGUUCCAUAAAGUCCAGCGCAUGUAGUAAUUGCCGUUUUCUUGGUUUCAUCAUAAGACAUUGGUACUUGGUAAUCGUGACCGGAAGUUACGUCCUGUCCAGUUUCGCCCUGCGGAAGUUACGCCCUGUCCAGUUUCGCCCUCAUAUAUAUAUUAUAGCAUAAGUGUAUCUUCCGCAUAUAAUUUAAGGUCUUCCUUCACUUCAACUUGAAGCCCUUUGUAAUUAAUUAUGAAAUUAUGGCAUUUAAGUAAUUAAUAUGAAAUAAUUGUAGUUUCUUAUCAUAAUGAAUUCGAACUAUUUUUUUUACCGGUGAGGGAAAAGAGGAAGAACGAACACAAUUAAAUAAUUUUGAAUCAUCAUUGACAUAAUAAGUGGGAGUACAGGGAGGAUUUUAAUUUUACAUGUUCUUAGUCUUGUACUCAAGAAGUUGUUACACUUUUUAACAUAUACUUUGAGUAUUUGCAAUUCCUAUAUUGCUUGUUAAUAACUUUUUGGCAUGAAAUGUUUAAAUUAAAUAGGAUGAGACUUGCAACGAUCAGAAUCCCUUUGAAUUAUCCCUGCUUUUUUAUUCAUCAUAUCUCAAGACGGAUUAAGAUCAGGAUCGACCGUAGCCCUAGGUUUCCAGUGGCCAUUGAAUAACGUAACAGAGACGUUUUUGAGUAUACCACAAAGGAUUUAAUAUAUUAAUAUCAAGGGUAACUAUAGAUCGCCUUCCUUGAUUAAUAUAUGGUCGUGCUUGGCAAAAACUCCAUAAACCUUUCAAGGAGAGGAAGGAAAGGGUUUUUACGAUAUAUACCAUAAUUAUUCAUUCUAUUUACAACUAAGACUAAGAUUUUGUACUGGGACGAAUAAUACCUCGUUAGAAUAUAAUAUAAAUAUAAAAUGGCA